rnacentral:rRNA from 1 species
GACAGAGGGUGCAAACGUUGUUCGGAAUUACUGGGCGUAAAGGGCGCGUAGGCGGCUUGGCAAGUGGAAGGUGAAACCCCUCGGCUUAACCGAGGAACUGCCCUCCAAACUGCUUUGCUUGAGGCCGGGAGAGGCGAGUGGAAUUCCCAGUGUAGCGGUGAAAUGCGUAGAUAUUGGGAGGAACACCAGUGGCGAAGGCGGCUCGCUGGACCGGUUCUGACGCUGAGGCGCGAAAGCGUGGGGAGCAAACGGG